UAAAAACAUGCGCGUGAUAUACGUUGACUUUUGAAAUUUCAAUUGGUCUGGCGUCGUUAAUAUAACACUUGUAAUUAGGAAUGGCGAGUGUAUAUAUGAAAACUAAUCAGCGUUGUGGUUUGAAUUCCUUUCUUCUCAGAAGUUGAAACAUUAAUGGAGCGCGCGAAAGCAUCUGGAUGGAGCUAGAGAUCGGUCUCUAGAGAUAGGAUGUAAUUAAGUUGGUGGAAAUGAAGCCAGAAUCAUUUAGGUGCUCUAAAGGAGGCUGAGGUAUUUCUCUGCAUAAAAUAAAACAUUAAUGCUCCUUUGGCCGAUGAUGAAGUUUAGAUGGAUCCUCUCAUAGUAUUAUAUAUUUUUGUUAAGACAGUAAGUUAUCUAAGUGUAAAUAGUCAAUUUAACACUACAACAAAAUACUUUUCGGAGCGUUUCUUUUUAUACUUUUAGAGUGUUUUGUAAAUGCUCUGAAAGCAGGAAUUUCCAUAUAUACGGGAGCAUUGAAAAA